CCUAACGGCUGAACUGGCAACUUGGAGAAGUGGCAAGUCUUCCAGUAUGGGGAGCAAAACAGCUAUGGGUCAAGUCCGAUAUCUUUAGGAGAAGUCUUAUUGUGAGGGCGAGUUAUAUAACACCAUAGGACUGGCCGUCCCAUAUGAAAAGAUUAUAUUAGAAUUGAAUGAAGCUUUGUUUAUAUAUUGAUAAUGACAGUAUAUAUAUCGUGUCUUGACUAAUUGCGUGCCAGCAGUCGCGGUAAUACGUAAGAGACUAGUGUUAUUCAUCUUAAUUAGGUUUAAAGGGUACCCAGACGGUCAAUAUAGCUUAUAAAAUGUUAGUACUUGACUAGAGUUUUAUGUAAGAGGGCAGUACUUGAGGAGGAGAGAUGAAAUUUCGUGAUACCAAAGGGACUCUGUAAAGGCGAAGGCAGCCCUCUAUGUAAAAACUGACGUUGAAGGACGAAGGCACAGAGAACAAACAGGAUUAGAUACCCAAGUAGUCUUUGCAGUAAAUGAUGAAUGCCAUAGGUUAGAUUGGUCAAUUAUAGUCUAGGGUUAGUCUAGCAAACUAAUACCCUAUGCUAUAAUCCUAAUAUCUGGUCUAUAAAUGAAAGUGUAAGCAUUUCACCUCAAGAGUAAUGUGGCAACGCAGGAACUGAAAUCACUAGACCGUUUCUGACACCAGUAGUGAAG
rnacentral:rRNA from 1 species